CUGUUGGCUCCAAGCUUGCCAACCUGGAGGAGGUGCUUGAGGACAGAAUGCUGGCUAAAAUGCUGGCAGUUAAAGACACUGCCUCCCACCCCCUCCAUAAGACACUGGACAGUCUUAAGAGCAGCUUCAGCAACAGACUCGUAGAACCACGCUGCCUCAGGGAAACAUAUGGGAGAUCGUUCCUGCCUGGUGUCAUCAGACUCUUUAAAACAUCUGCCACUGCUGGACCUGCUGUGGUCUCUGAACUCGACUAAAAACCUCAGAUUUAUAUUUAACUGAAAUCCAAUAUUUAUCUGUUGCACGCACCCCACAUACCAAUACGCAACAAUACAUAACAAUACAUAACAAUACCACAUAAUAAUACCACGUAUCUACGUAACAAUACCGUGUAACAAUACCGUGUAACAAUAAGUAACAAGACCAUGUAACAAUACAUAACAAUACCACAUAAUAAUACCACAUAACCAUACUGCGUAACAAUACGUAACAAUGCCAUGUAACAAUACCACGUAACGAUAUGUAACAAUACCAUAUACCAAAACAUAAUACCACAUAAUACCAUGUAACCAUACGUAACACUAACGCGUAACAAUACAUAACAAUGCCAUGUAACAAUAUGUAGCAAUACGUAACAAUACGUAGCAUUGUUACGUAUUGUUACAUGGUUACAUGUAACCAUGGUAUGUUGUUACUUAUUGUUAAGUAUGGUUACAUAAUACCAUGUAACCAUACUUAACAAUAACGCAUAACAAUACAUAACAAUACCAUGUAACCAUACGUAACAAUAACGCAUAACAAUACAUAAUACCAUGUAACCAUACGUAACAAUAACGCGUAACAAUACAUAACAAUGCCAUGUAACAAUAUGUAGCAACACCACAUAAUACCAUGUAACCAUACUUAACAAUAACGCAUAACAAUACAUAACAAUGCUAUGUAACAAUAUGUAGCAA